ACUCAAAGGAAUUGACGGGGACCCGCACAAGCGGUGGAGCGUGUUCUUUAAUUCGAUGUUAAACGAAGAACCUUACCAGGACUUGACAUCCUUGGAAUUUUUAUGAAAGUAAAAAGUGCCUUUUGGAACCAAGUGACAGGUGUUGCAUGGCCGUCGUCAGCUCGUGUCGUGAGAUGUAGGGUUAAGUCCCUUAACGAGCGCAACCCUUGUGAUUAGUUGUAUUUUUCUAAUCAGACUGCCUCGGCAACGGGGAGGAAGGAGGGGAUGAUGUCAGGUCAGUAUUGCCCUUACGUCCUGGGCUAGAAACGCGCUACAAUGGCUAGUACAAAGGGCAGCCAACCCGCAAGGGGGAGCUAAUCCCAUCAAAGCUAGUCUCAGUUCGGAUUGCAGGCUGAAACUCGCCUGCAUGAAGCUGGAAUCGCUAGUAACCGUAAGUCAGCAAAUUACGGUGAAUACGUUCCCGGGUCUUGUACACACCGCCCGU
rnacentral:rRNA from 1 species